rnacentral:tRNA from 1 species
UCCCUGGUACUCCAGUUGUUAGGACUCUGCACUUUCACUGCUGAGGGGGCAGGUUCAAUCCCUGGUCAAGGAA